GAGUGAGAGCGUGGCGCUCGCAGCCUACAGCAGUCGCUGGUACACUCGGAGCAGAAGGAUCUCUACACUACUCAACAUCAUCAUGUUAAGAUCUCAAACACCAGUUCAUAUGAAUGCUUCGAUCAUAAUAAUUAAAUUGGAAAACAUGUCAGUGAUAAUGAAAGAAGCUUGGUCAUAUAUGGGAAUUAUGGUGUAUUUGUUUUCAAUGUCUUGGGAUUUAUUAUAAGCUUUACAUCUAGUA